ANCNGGCUUCCAUGCAGUCGAGGGGCAGCAUUUUAGUUUGCUUGCAAACUAAAGAUGGCGACCGGCGCACGGGCUGAGCUAACACGCUAUCCAACCUGCCGAUAACUCGGGGAUAGCCUUUCGAAAGAAAGAUUAAUAUCCGAUAGUAUAUUAAAACCGCAUGGUUUUACUAUUAAAGAAUUUCGGUUAUCGAUGGGGAUGCGUUCCAUUAGUUUGUUGGCGGGGUAACGGCCCACCAAGACUACGAUGGAUAGGGGUUCUGAGAGGAAGGUCCCCCACAUUGGAACUGAGACACGGUCCAAACUCAUACGGGAGGCAGCAGUGAGGAAUAUUGGUCAAUGGACGAGAGUCUGAACCAGCCAAGUAGCGUGAAGGAUGACUGCCCUAUGGGUUGUAAACUUCUUUUAUAUGGGAAUAAAGUAUUCCACGUGUGGGAUUUUGUAUGUACCAUAUGAAUAAGGAUCGGCUAACUCCGUGCCAGCAGCCGCGGUAAUACGGAGGAUCCGAGCGUUAUCCGGAUUUAUUGGGUUUAAAGGGAGCGUAGGUGGAUUGUUAAGUCAGUUGUGAAAGUUUGCGGCUCAACCGUAAAAUUGCAGUUGAAACUGGCAGUCUUGAGUACAGUAGAGGUGGGCGGAAUUCGUGGUGUAGCGGUGAAAUGCUUAGAUAUCACGAAGAACUCCGAUUGCGAAGGCAGCUCACUAGACUGCAACUGACACUGAUGCUCGAAAGUGUGGGUAUCAAACAGGAUUAGAUACCCUGGUAGUCCACACAGUAAACGAUGAAUACUCGCUGUUUGCGAUAUACAGUAAGCGGCCAAGCGAAAGCAUUAAGUAUUCCACCUGGGGAGUACGCCGGCAACGGUGAAACUCAAAAGGAAUUGACGGGGGCCCGCACAAGCGGAGGAACAUGUGGUUUAAUUCGAUGAUACGCGAGGAACCUUACCCGGGCUUAAAUUGCAUUUGAAUAAUCUGGAAACAGGUUAGCCGCAAGGCAAAUGUGAAGGUGCUGCAUGGUUGUCGUCAGCUCGUGCCGUGAGGUGUCGGCUUAAGUGCCAUAACGAGCGCAACCCUUAUCUUUAGUUACUAACAGGUCAUGCUGAGGACUCUAGAGAGACUGCCGUCGUAAGAUGUGAGGAAGGUGGGGAUGACGUCAAAUCAGCACGGCCCUUACGUCCGGGGCUACACACGUGUUACAAUGGGGGGUACAGAAGGCAGCUACCUGGCGACAGGAUGCUAAUCCCAAAAACCUCUCUCAGUUCGGAUCGAAGUCUGCAACCCGACUUCGUGAAGCUGGAUUCGCUAGUAAUCGCGCAUCAGCCAUGGCGCGGUGAAUACGUUCCCGGGCCUUGUACACACCGCCCGUCAAGCCAUGAAAGCCGGGGGUACCUGAAGUACGUAACCGCAAGGAGCUUCUAGGGAAA
rnacentral:rRNA from 1 species